rnacentral:rRNA from 1 species
GAUCCUGGCUCAGGAUGAACGCUAGCUACAGGCUUAACACAUGCAAGUCGAGGGGCAGCAUGGUCUUAGCUUGCUAAGGUCCGAUGGCGACCGGCGCACGGGUGAGUAACGCGUAUCCAACCUGCCUUACACUCUUGGACAGCUUCUNAAAGGGAGAUUAAUACAAGAUGUUAUCAUGAGUAAGCAUUUUCGCAUGAUUAAAGGUUUACCGGUGUAAGAUGGGGAUGCGUU